CAGAUCUUGGUGGUAGUAGCAAAUACUCAAGUGAGAAUCUUGAGGACUAACGUGGAGAAGGGUUCCAUGUGAACAGCAGUUGGACAUGGUUCAGUCGGUCCUAAGGAAGCGGAGAAAUCCGUUGCAACGGCUCGGUUUUAUUUAGUAAAUAUUAAUGAUCCCGAGUCGAUUUUCCGAAAGGGAAUCGGGUCAAUAUUCCCGAACUGAGACAAGGAGGAUGUGCUUUCGGGCACUAAUGCGGCAACGCGAUCAAAUUCGGAGACAUCGGCGGCAGUCCUGGGAAGAGUUGUCUUUUCUCUAUAAGGCACCGAAUCCAUGAAAACAGCUUGUCUGGAGAUAUGGAUGUUGGUGCCGAAGAGCUCAGCGAUUCUUGCUGAGUCCGGUGCGCUGCUGUCGGUCCUUGAAAAUCCGAAGGCGAGGUUCGCCUCCGUGCUCAGCCGUACCAAUAUCCGCAGCAGGUCUCCAAGG
rnacentral:rRNA from 1 species